GAUGAACGCUAGCUACAGGCUUAACACAUGCAAGUCGAGGGGAAACGAUAUUGGAAGCUUGCUUCCGAUAGGCGUCGACCGGCGCACGGGUGAGUAACGCGUAUCCACCCUGCCCAUCACUUGGGGAUAACCUUGCGAAAGUAAGACUAAUACCCAAUGAUAUCUCUAGAAGACAUCUGAAAGGGAUUAAAGAUUUAUCGGUGAUGGAUGGGGAUGCGUCUGAUUAGCUUGUUGGCGGGGUAACGGCCCACCAAGGCGACGAUCAGUAGGGGUUCGGAGAGGAAGGUCCCCAACAUUGGAGCUGUGACACGGCCCAAACUCCUACGGGAGGCAGCAGAGAGGAAUAGUGGUCAAUGGACGAGAGUUUGAACCAGCCAAGUAGCGUGCAGGAUGACGGCCCUAUGGGUUGUAAACUGCUUUUAUAAGGGAAUAAAGUGAGCCUCGUGAGGCUUUUUGCAGGUACCUUAUGAAUAAGGACCGGCUAAUUCCGUGCCAGCCGCCGCGGUAA
rnacentral:rRNA from 1 species